GCAAAACGCGAAGAACCUUACCACCUUUUGACAUGCCUGGACCGCCACAGAGAUGUGGCUUUCCCUUCGGGGACUGGGACACAGGUGCUGCAUGGCUGUCGUCAGCUCGUGUCGUGAGAUGUUGGGUUAAGUCCCGCAACGAGCGCAACCCUCGCCAUUAGUUGCCAUCAUUCAGUUGGGAACUCUAAUGGGACUGCCGGUGCUAAGCCGGAGGAAGGUGGGGAUGACGUCAAGUCCUCAUGGCCCUUACAGGGUGGGCUACACACGUGCUACAAUGGCGACUACAGAGGGUUAAUCCUUAAAAGUCGUCUCAGUUCGGAUUGUCCUCUGCAACUCGAGGGCAUGAAGUUGGAAUCGCUAGUAAUCGCGGANUACAGCAUGCCGCGGUGAAUACGUUCCCGGGUCUUGUACACACCGAGUCUUGUACACACCGAGUCGU
rnacentral:rRNA from 1 species